rnacentral:rRNA from 1 species
UACGUAGGUGACAAGCGUUGUCCGGAUUUACUGGGCGUAAAGAGCGCGCAGGCGGUCGAUCAAGUCGAGUGUGAAAGCCCCCGGCUCAACUGGGGAGGGUCAUUCGAUACUGUACGCACUCGAAGGCAGGAGAGGGUAAGUGGAAUUCCCGGUGUAGUGGUGAAAUGCGUAGAUAUCGGGAAGAACACCCGUGGCGAAGGCGGCUCUCUGGGACGGUACUGACGCUGAGGAGCGAAAGCGUGGGGAGCAAACAGG